rnacentral:lncRNA from 1 species
UCUUUUUGUAUCAACGACAGUAACAACGCAAAGUAAAACAAAACAAACAAGUGGCCCGGCAGUACUUCAGAAUCCUCUGCGGCGUCCUGUCCCCCACCCUGCCCCUCCGAGGAGAGGCAGCCCCGUGCGCAGUGUGUGUACAGUUCGCAUUGCCAACAACACCCGCGCGCGGCCGGGUGCGCGCGCCUGCCAGCGCACACUCACACACAUAGACACACAGACACACACACAGACACACACACACACACACACACACAGACAGAUCCGGGUGGGGGGAGCGGCUGCGCGAGACAGCGCGAGCCUCCGAGAAAGCGCGAGACACACCGGCGCGUGCAGCUCCGCGGCCGCCGCUUCGCCCCAGCUCUAGCCCCGCGCGACCCGUAGCCCGCCCCGGUUAUUUAUGCGGCGGCCGCGUCCGCCGGCUGCGGCUUCCUCGCCCCCCCUCCCCGGGCGCGCCCCCCACUCGCGGCAGCAGCUGCCCGGACUCGCGCGUGGGUGUGUUGUUUGGGGGCUUCUGCCUUGCCGCCGCGGGUGCCACCUCCUGGGACGCUGCCCACGGCGUCCCCGGUCGCGAAUGUAAAGACACUAAGAAGACAUUCGAUUGAUGAAAUAGAAGAGUUUGCCAACAAGGUAGAAACAUUAAAAGAAAACAGAAUUUUGAAUUCAUGAAUUUUAUCUAAAAUGUUCUUUGCUUUUGUAAACUUCGUAGAGAUCAGUGGAUGUUGUGCUUGAUGUGUUCUGUGUCUGAGUAAUUAUUGUAACUUUACUAUGAUUUAAAAAGAAUGUAAAGUCACUGCUUCCUCCACUUUUACUUUUCUCUUUUCUUCUCCCAAAAUAUUCCUUAUUUAAUGUAUGACACUAGCUAUAUGUUUGUAGACAGUACUAGGAGAUUAAAAAGAAAAGAAAUAACGAAAUGGGG